AUAUCAAUAAGCGGAGGAAAAGAAACUAACAAGGAUUCCCCUAGUAACGGCGAGUGAAGUGGGAAAAGCUCAACUUUGAAAUCUGGCACCUUCGGUGUCCGAAUUGUAGUCUCUAGAAGUGUUUUCCGUGCUGGCCCAUGUGUGAGUCUGUUGGAACACAGCGUCAUAGAGGGUGACAACCCCGUUCAUAACAUGGACCCCAGUGCUUUGUGAUACACUCUCGACGAGUCGAGUUGUUUGGGAAUGCAGCUCAAAUUGGGUGGUAAAUUCCAUCUAAAGCUAAAUAUUGGCGAGAGACCGAUAGCAAACAAGUACCGUGAGGGAAAGAUGAAAAGCACUUUGGAAAGAGAGUUAACAGUACGUGAAAUUGCUAAAAGGGAAACGAUUGAAGUCAGACGUGCGUGGUGCGGUUCAGCUCUGGUUCGCCAGAGUGUAUUCCGUGCCUUUGCAGGCCAACAUCGGUUUCACGAGGCGGAUAAAGGUUUGAGAAAUGUGGCACCUUCGGGUGUGUUAUAGUCUCUUGCUGAAUACGCCUCGAGGGACCGAGGAACGCAGCGCGCCGCAAGGCAAAGCCUCUGGGCUUUUCGCGCUUAGGAUGUUGGUGAAAUGGCUUUAAACGACCCGUCUUGAAACACGGACCAAGGAGUCUAACAUGCUUGCGAGUGUUGGGG
rnacentral:rRNA from 1 species